AUCAAUGGUGGCGCUGGCGGGGCAGCCGAAAGGCUGGCCGGUUCGUUGAGUCCGGUAUUCCUACCCCCGUCAGCGCCAUCACCUGG
rnacentral:antisense_RNA from 1 species